rnacentral:rRNA from 1 species
CCAAACCAACAAGCUUGCUUGUUGGGGUUGUAGGACACUCUAUACGGAGUUACAAAGGACGACAUUAGACGAAUCAUCUGGAAAGAUGAAUCAAAGAAGGUAAUAAUCCUGUAGUCGAAAAUGUUGUCUCUCUUGAGUGGAUCCUGAGUACGACGGAGCACGUGAAAUUCCGUCGGAAUCUGGGAGGACCAUCUCCUAAGGCUAAAUACUCUCUAGUGACCGAUAGUGAACCAGUACCGUGAGGGAAAGGUGAAAAGCACCCCGGAAGGGGAGUGAAAUAGAACCUGAAACCGUGUGCUUACAAGUAGUCAGAGCCCGUUAAUGGGUGAUGGCGUGCCUUUUGUAGAAUGAACCGGCGAGUUACGAUUUGAUGCAAGGUUAAGCAGUAAAUGUGGAGCCGUAGCGAAAGCGAGUCUGAAUAGGGCGUUUAGUAUUUGGUCGUAGACCCGAAACCAGGUGAUCUACCCUUGGUCAGGUUGAAGUUCAGGUAACACUGAAUGGAGGACCGAACCGACUUACGUUGAAAAGUGAGCGGAUGAACUGAGGGUAGCGGAGAAAUUCCAAUCGAACCUGGAGAUAGCUGGUUCUCUCCGAAAUAGCUUUAGGGCUAGCCUCAAGUGAUGAUUAUUGGAGGUAGAGCACUGUUUGGACGAGGGGCCCCUCUCGGGUUACCGAAUUCAGACAAACUCCGAAUGCCAAUUAAUUUAACUUGGGAGUCAGAACAUGGGUGAUAAGGUCCGUGUUCGAAAGGGAAACAGCCCAGACCACCAGCUAAGGUCCCAAAAUAUAUGUUAAGUGGAAAAGGAUGUGGCGUUGCCCAGACAACUAGGAUGUUGGCUUAGAAGCAGCCAUCAUUUAAAGAGUGCGUAAUAGCUCACUAGUCGAGUGACACUGCGCCGAAAAUGUACCGGGGCUAAACAUAUUACCGAAGCUGUGGAUUGUCCUUUGGACAAUGGUAGGAGAGCGUUCUAAGGGCGUUGAAGCAUGAUCGUAAGGACAUGUGGAGCGCUUAGAAGUGAGAAUGCCGGUGUGAGUAGCGAAAGACGGGUGAGAAUCCCGUCCACCGAUUGACUAAGGUUUCCAGAGGAAGGCUCGUCCGCUCUGGGUUAGUCGGGUCCUAAGCUGAGGCCGACAGGCGUAGGCGAUGGAUAACAGGUUGAUAUUCCUGUACCACCUAUAAUCGUUUUAAUCGAUGGGGGGACGCAGUAGGAUAGGCGAAGCGUGCGAUUGGAUUGCACGUCUAAGCAGUAAGGCUGAGUAUUAGGCAAAUCCGGUACUCGUUAAGGCUGAGCUGUGAUGGGGAGAAGACAUUGUGUCUUCGAGUCGUUGAUUUCACACUGCCGAGAAAAGCCUCUAGAUAGAAAAUAGGUGCCCGUACCGCAAACCGACACAGGUAGUCAAGAUGAGAAUUCUAAGGUGAGCGAGCGAACUCUCGUUAAGGAACUCGGCAAAAUGACCCCGUAACUUCGGGAGAAGGGGUGCUCUUUAGGGUUAACGCCCAGAAGAGCCGCAGUGAAUAGGCCCAAGCGACUGUUUAUCAAAAACACAGGUCUCUGCUAAACCGUAAGGUGAUGUAUAGGGGCUGACGCCUGCCCGGUGCUGGAAGGUUAAGAGGAGUGGUUAGCUUCUGCGAAGCUACGAAUCGAAGCCCCAGUAAACGGCGGCCGUAACUAUAACGGUCCUAAGGUAGCGAAAUUCCUUGUCGGGUAAGUUCCGACCCGCACGAAAGGCGUAACGAUUUGGGCACUGUCUCAACGAGAGACUCGGUGAAAUCAUAGUACCUGUGAAGAUGCAGGUUACCCGCGACAGGACGGGAAGACCCCGUGGAGCUUUACUGUAGCCUGAUAUUGAAAUUCGGCACAGCUUGUACAGGAUAGGUAGGAGCCUUUGAAACGUGAGCGCUAGCUUACGUGGAGGCGCUGGUGGGAUACUACCCUAGCUGUGUUGGCUUUCUAACCCGCACCACUUAUCGUGGUGGGAGACAGUGUCAGGCGGGCAGUUUGACUGGGGCGGUCGCCUCCUAAAAGGUAACGGAGGCGCUCAAAGGUUCCCUCAGAAUGGUUGGAAAUCAUUCAUAGAGUGUAAAGGCAUAAGGGAGCUUGACUGCGAGACCUACAAGUCGAGCAGGGUCGAAAGACGGACUUAGUGAUCCGGUGGUUCCGCAUGGAAGGGCCAUCGCUCAACGGAUAAAAGCUACCCCGGGGAUAACAGGCUUAUCUCCCCCAAGAGUUCACAUCGACGGGGAGGUUUGGCACCUCGAUGUCGGCUCAUCGCAUCCUGGGGCUGUAGUCGGUCCCAAGGGUUGGGCUGUUCGCCCAUUAAAGCGGUACGCGAGCUGGGUUCAGAACGUCGUGAGACAGUUCGGUCCCUAUCCGUCGUGGGCGUAGGAAAUUUGAGAGGAGCUGUCCUUAGUACGAGAGGACCGGGAUGGACAUACCUCUGGUGUACCAGUUGUCGUGCCAACGGCAUAGCUGGGUAGCUAUGUGUGGACGGGAUAAGUGCUGAAAGCAUCUAAGCAUGAAGCCCCCCUCAAGAUGAGAUUUCCCAACUUCGGUUAUAAGAUCCCUCAAAGAUGAUGAGGUUAAUAGGUUCGAGGUGGAAGCAUGGUGACAUGUGGAGCUGACGAAUACUAAUCGAUCGAAGACUUAAUCAA